rnacentral:tRNA from 1 species
GGAUUGUGGCUCAGCGGUAAAACGCUCACCUAGCAUGGGCGGGACCCGAGUUCAAUCCUCAGCACCA